AUUGAACGCUGGCGGCAUGCUUUACACAUGCAAGUCGAACGGUAACAGGGAGCUUGCUCCGCUGACGAGUGGCGAACGGGUGAGUAAUGCGUCGGAACGUGCCGAGUAGUGGGGGAUAACGCAGCGAAAGUUGUGCUAAUACCGCAUACGUACUGAGGUAGAAAGUGGGGGACCUUCGGGCCUCACGCUAUUCGAGCGGCCGACGUCUGAUUAGCUAGUAGGUGAGGUGAAGGCUUACCUAGGCGACGAUCAGUAGCGGGUCUGAGAGGAUGUUACGCCACACUGGGACUGAGACACGGCCCAGACUCCUACGGGAGGCAGCAGUGGGGAAUUUUGGACAAUGUGCGAAAGCCUGAUCCAGCCAUGCCGCGUGUCUGAAGAAGGCCUUCGGGUUGUAAAGGACUUUUGUCGGGGAGGAAAUCCCCAGCGCUAAUACCGCUGGGGGAUGACAGUACCUGAAGAAUAAGCACCGGCUAACUACGUGCCAGCCGCCGCAGUAAUAC
rnacentral:rRNA from 1 species